CGCGAGGCGUGCGCGAGUCAGCUGGGGCGGUUUGGCUUGCGCGCUUAGGCGAGGUGAUAAUCUUGUCACAGUUAAAAGUGCCACCACCAGGCAGCACAAAACAUCUGUGAAAAUACUGAUUGCUGAAUUUAAUUUCAAUUUUAUUCUCAAUUCAAAAUGUUUCUUAUAUCGAUAGAAACACCACCAGAAGAAAUACUAAGAGAACUAGUUUGCAUGCUAGGUACUUUAAAUGAUCUAAAGAAAGAUAUGCUUUCAGUCAAAGAAACGUGUAAGGAAAUAAGGGGAAACUAUAUUGAAACAAACAUCCUCAUGGAUAAGAUAUUGCUGGAAUCAGCAAAAAUGAGAAGUGAUAUAGUACAGCAAAUAGAAGAAACAAAAUGGAAGAAUAAGCUCAUGAUGUAAAACCUGUUGCUAACACUACAAGAAAAAGUGACCAACCUUGAAGACAAAUGCAAAUAAGCUUCAGAAUAAUUCAAGUAUAUCAGAGGGGACUGAAGAAGAAAAAUAUGUGAAUAACAUGAAAAAAACCUCAUAAGAAAAUUUUCCCUAAGUUACAGCCUGAAAUCAGAAAAAUAUUCACUCUCAACCAGAAGGAACAAGUUUCUAAGGCACAUUUUCAUCAGACUCUAAAAUCCAAGGCACAAUCUUCAAAGCCUCGAGAAGAAAUCCUGUCAAAAAAAACUGAUUUACCUUUUAUCACACUGAAGUUAAAACCAUAGAAAAAGUGAUGUUGAAACAGAAUAUAAAACCAAAACAUAGGGAUUUGGAUUCUAGAGUCAAACUUGAAGCAAACCUACACAUUUUUUUUGAAGGCAGAAGAAAAAUGUUUUAAAAAUUAAGCCUUCAAAGAAUUCUUUGAAAAAAGAAUAACUAUGAGCAAAAGGGAAUCAGGAUUCCCUUGGAUAGAUAAGUAGUUAAGAUAUUCAACAAAGCAUUCCUAAAGGAUGUUAAGGAUAGUUUCUAUUAUAAGAUAAAACUUAGAAAUAUCUUAAAAGAUGUAGAAUUUAACAUUGUAUUAAAAAAUAAACAUUCAUUAAACUAU